rnacentral:rRNA from 1 species
AGUGAACGCUGGCGGUAGGCCUAACACAUGCAAGUCGAACGGCAGCACAGGAGAGCUUGCUUUCUGGGUGGCGAGUGGCGGAGGGGUGAGGAAUACAUCGGAAUCUACUCUGUCGUGGGGGAUAACGUAGGGAAACUUACGCUAAUACCGCAUACGACCUACGGGUGAAAGGAGGGGACCUUCGGGCCUUGCGCGAUUGAAUGAGCCGAUGUCGGAUUAGCUAGUUGGGGGGGUAAAGGCCCACCAAGGCGACGAUCCGUAGCGGGUCUGAGAGGAUGAUCAGCCACACUGGAACUGAGAAACGGUCCAGACUCCUACGGGAGGCAGCAGUGGGGAAUAUUGGACAAUGGGCGCAAGCCUGAUCCAGCCAUCCCGCGUGGGUGAAGAAGGCCUUCGGGUUGUAAAGCCCUUUUGUUGGGAAAGAAAUCCAGCUGGCUAAUACCCGGUUGGGAUGACGGUACCCAAAGAAUAAGCACCGGCUAACUUCGUGCCAGCAGCCGCCGUAA